rnacentral:rRNA from 1 species
GGGCUCACACAAGCGGUGGAGCAUGUGGCUCAAUUCGAGGCAACGCGAAGAACCUUAUCCUAGGCUUGACAUGGUCGGAUUAGUUCCGUGAAAGCGGAAUGACGCCUUCGGGUGGAACGAUCACAGGUGCUGCAUGGCUGUCGUCAGCUCGUGUCGUGAGAUGUCGGGUUUAGUCCUUCAACGAGCGAAACCCCUGUCUCUAGUUGCCAGCAUUCAGUUGGGGACUCUAGAGAGACCGCCGGUGUUAAACCGGAGGAAGGCGGGGACGACGUCAAGUCAUCACGGCCUUUAUGCCUAGGGCUGCACACGUGCUACAAUGGGUCGGACAAAGGGACGCGAACGCGCGAGCGGGAGCAAAUCUCAAAAACCGCCCCCCAGUUCAGAUUGCAGGCUGCAAUUCGCCUGCAUGAAGCCGGAAUCGCUAGUAAUCGCAGAUCAGCUAUGCUGCGGUGAAUGUGUUCCUGAGCCUU